ensembl:lncRNA
CGGCGGCGGCGUCGCUGGCGGCGGCGGCAUCUCUCGCGCCGGCGUCUGUCCCGACCGGGUUCGGCAUACCGACUAGAAGAUUCCAACAGGAGAGAGCAGACUGCCCUGUGCCCAGCUGUGCCUCCCUGAAGAGAGACUGGUCUAUGGAGCAUCCUCCUCAAUUUAAAGAAGGACGCCCCACUGGAGAGCAGAAAAGAGUCCAACAGGAGAGAGCAGACUGCCCUGUGCCCAGCUGUGCCUCCCUGAAGAGAGACUGGUCUAUGGAGCAACCUCCUCAAUUUACAGAAGGAAGCCCCACUGGAGAGGAG